GUGCUCGGGCAAUUGCUGUAGCGUUAUGCUAUAGAGGAAAGUCCAUGCUCACACGGUGCUGAGAUGCCCGUAGUGUUCGUGCCUCGCGAAAAAAUAAGCGGGGGCAUUCCAGAAGGUUCUGGUUUGACGGCAGAGAAGAUACCUACGUUCUUUUGAAUAUGGUAUGCAUCUCUUGAAAGUGCCACAGUGACGUAGUUCCGUUAGAAAUGGCGGAAGUGGAACGAGGUAAACCCCACGAGUGAGAAACUCAAACUAUGGUAGGGGCACUUUCCCUGAGGAAAUGAACAAAGGGAAGGAUCAGCUUAUUGGCUGAUAGAUAGAUGAUUGCCACCGGUGUACGAGCGUUUAUCCGCGUUUGAAGUACAAGGGAACAAAACAUGGCUUACAGAU
rnacentral:RNase_P_RNA from 1 species